CAGAAGUCGACUCUGUUCACGUUCUCUCACAGCGCGAAAACGUUCAGGUCUGCUGCAACACAACAGCACUCAGAAAGCAAACAUGUCAAAGAUAGACAAGAUGAGCAUCUUAGGGGUGAGGAGUUUUGGGAUAGAGGAUAAAGACAAACAAGUCAUUACUUUCUUCACUCCACUGACUGUGCUAGUUGGACCCAAUGGAGCAGGGAAAACGACUAUUAUUGAGUGCCUUAAGUAUGCAACAGCAGGAGAGCUUCCGCCUGGAUCUAAAGGAGGGGCAUUUGUUCAUGAUCCAAAAG